rnacentral:tRNA from 1 species
AGUUCUGUGGCUUAGUUGGUUAAUGCGCUGGACUAGCAAAUACGAAGUCGUGGGUUCGAAUCCCACCAGAACGC